GAGAAGAUAAAAGAUGCCCCCUCAAGUUGUGACAUAUUUAGGUCCUCAUCUUGCUCAGAAUGGAGCAGGAGGAAGAGUACGGAAGAAGAAACUUCAUUUCUAAAAUCUUUUGGAUCAUUGUCAUGUCACAUGACCCGGCUCCUAUGGGUUUUGGAUAAGACAGAAGCUCUGACAUUCUGCCUCGCAAUUUCUGGAUACGACUUGGAUCUCAUCUGUCCCUCAGUGACUGUAAGCCAUACAGGCCCUGAGGCGGCACGGCAAAUUUUUAUAAAGCAUUCUGGGAGUGUAACGGUGUGACUGAGGUUGGAUGGGAACUCUUGUAAGAGUUCUCCAUGUGUCAAGAGUUCAUCUGCAUGUGGCCCAUCUGCUCUGAGGGUUAAUACUCAGGAGUCAAAGAAGAAGAUCUCAAAGCUCACAGGGUUCUCAUGGUAUUUCACACCCUAACUCAUUUAAUUGUUGAAAGCCUCAUUUAAAGCCUUGUUUAAUCUCAGUCAGUUCAGUGUUAUUACUUGCAUUUACGUUCUAUAAGUCAUACAGUAUAUAUUUACUCUACUGUAAGUAUAAGUCAGUAGUAUUUUGAAGUAUUGUUACAAUUUAAAAUAACUGGUUUCUAUUUUAAUAUAUUUUAAAAUGUCAUUUAUUCUUGUGAUAUCAAAGCUGAAUGUAAUUGUAUGUUUUGUAAUUAUAUGGUGUGAAUUUGAAUCAAAAUGUUGUGGAUUUGAAUUGAAUUUUCCAAACACUGCAUGAAGCUGAAUUGGAAUGGCAAUUAAAGGAAUUUAUGAAUUUCUAUCAAUCUGUUGUUCAAAAGUUUGGGGUCAGUAAGAUUUUUUAAAAAUGUUUUUGAAAGAAGCCUCACCAAAGCAUUUAUAGAGAAAUAGUGAUAUUGUGGGAUAUUAUUACAAUCAAAUCAGUAGUGUAGCCAGAAAAGAGACUCUGGGUGUGCAUAUGAAAAUCUGGGUGUGCCACAUUUAUUGUCAGAUUACUGUGCAAAAUUAUUAACCCUAACCAUAACCAUGCCCCACAUAACCAUAAAACUAUAUAAAAUAAUAUAGCUGCAAGCAGCAAUACGGGGCCAAGCUCUGCAAAGAAGAACAAAACAUCAGAAAUCAGGGACAGUACUUUUAUGCGGCUCGCCCCAAAGAUCAUUUGAGCGAAAAAAAACGGAACACUGUACUUUUCAAAAUGGCUACUACUGUAAUGGGCGGAGUCUCAAUGUAUGAUAUUGUUUGUGAUCAGCAUGAUGAGAGCAAUCAGGUGUACUAUGUCUCAUUGUCUCAUAGGGCUGCCAUAGACUCCCAUUUGCGGAAGAAUAAUAUACAUUACACUCAGGAUCGCCAAUAACAUAGUCAUAACAUAGUGCCUGUUAGCUGCACUGUAAAACCUGAUGAGUUUGUUCAACUCAAACCGUUUGAGGAAACCGAUUGCCUUAAAUCCUUUAAGUUUAUUAACUCAAAAAAUGUAAGCAUAAAAAAAUAUUUGAUUUGUGUCCAAGUAACUCAGUAACUUAUUGUUAAGAUAACUUGGGUAAAUAAAGUUAAUAGUACUAAGUCCAUUCAAUUAAUAUAACUCAAAUCUAUGAAGUACACUGUAAACCCGAAUAAGUAAGCAGAACUAGCAGAUUUUUAUUUUGUACUUAAACAUUUCAAGUUACAA
ensembl:lncRNA